rnacentral:rRNA from 1 species
CCUACGGGGGGCAGCAGUGAGGAAUAUUGGUCAAUGGACGAGAGUCUGAACCAGCCAAGUAGCGUGAAGGAUGACUGCCCUAUGGGUUGUAAACUUCUUUUAUAUGGGAAUAAAACGUUCCACGUGUGGGAUUUUGUAUGUACCAUAUGAAUAAGGAUUGGCUAACUCCGUGCCAGCAGCCGCGGUAAUACGGAGGAUCCGAGCGUUAUCCGGAUUUAUUGGGUUUAAAGGGAGCGUAGGUGGAUUGUUAAGUCAGUUGUGAAAGUUUGCGGCUCAACCGUAAAAUUGCAGUUGAAACUGGCAGUCUUGAGUACAGUAGAGGUGGGCGGAAUUCGUGGUGUAGCGGUGAAAUGCUUAGAUAUCACGAAGAACUCCGAUUGCGAAGGCAGUUCACUGGACUGCAACUGACACUGAGGCUCGAAAGUGUGGGUAUCAAACAGGAUUAGAUACCCCUGUAGUC